rnacentral:rRNA from 1 species
CCUACGGGCGGCAGCAGUGAGGAAUAUUGGUCAAUGGGAGAGAGCCUGAACCAGCCAAGCCGCGUGAGGGAAGACGGCCCUAUGGGUUGUAAACCUCUUUUGUCGGAGAACAAAACCCGGGACGUGUCCCGGACUGCGUGUAUCCGAAGAAAAAGCAUCGGCUAACUCCGUGCCAGCAGCCGCGGUAAUACGGAGGAUGCGAGCGGUAUCCGGAUUUAUUGGGUUUAAGGGGUGCGUAGGCGGUCCGUUAAGUCAGCGGUAAAAUUGCGGGGCUCAACCCCGGCGAGCCGUUGAAACUGGCAGUCUUGAGUUGGCGAGAAGUACGCGGAAUGCGCGGUGUAGCGGUGAAAUGCAUAGAUAUCGCGCAGAACUCCGAUUGCGAAGGCAGCGUACCGGCGCCCGACUGACGCUGAGGCACGAAAGCGUGGGGAUCGAACAGGAUUAGAUACCCCGGUAGUC